rnacentral:rRNA from 1 species
CAGCCGCCGCGGUAAUACGUAUGUCACAAGCGUUAUCCGGAUUUAUUGGGCGUAAAGCGCGUCUAGGUGGUUAUGUAAGUCUGAUGUGAAAAUGCAGAGCUCAACUCUGUAUUGCGUUGGAAACUGUGUAACUAGAGUACUGGAGAGGUAAGCGGAACUACAAGUGUAGAGGUGAAAUUCGUAGAUAUUUGUAGGAAUGCCGAUGGGGAAGCCAGCUUACUGGACAGAUACUGACGCUGAAGCGCGAAAGCGUGGGUAGCAAACAGGAUUAGAUACCCCAGUAGUCCCUGUCUCUUAUACA